AAAGAAAAUAACAAUGAUUCCCCUAGUAACGGCGAGCGAAGAGGGAAUAGCUCAAAUUUUAAAUCUGUUGGGUCUUACCUAACCGAGUUGUAAUUUGAAGAAGCGUUUUCUGCGUGUUUGAUUUAGCCCAAAUCCUUUGGGAUAAGGUAUCAUGGAGGGUGAGAAUCCCGUCCGGCCUAAUCAAAUGUGCUUUACGAUACGUUUUCUAAGAGUCGAGUUGUUUGGGAUUGCAGCUCAAAAUGGGAGGUAAAUUUCUCCUAAGGCUAAAUAUAGGCGAGAGACCGAUAGCGAACAAGUACCGUGAGGGAAAGAUGAAAAGAACUUUGAAAAGAGAGUUAAACAGUACGUGAAAUUGUUGAAAGGGAAACGAUUAAAGUCAGUCGUACUAACGGGGAAUCAACCUUUUGAGGGCGGAAUUGUGGGAUUCAGAGUGCCUUUGUCUUUCACAACCUGCUUUCUUUGGGUGCACUUUCUCGUAUUGUAGGUCAGCAUCGGUUUCGACCGUUAUAAAAUGACUGGAGGAAUGUAGCUUCGAUCUCGUGUUGAAGUGUUAUAGCCUUUGGUAGAUGUAACGGAUGGGAUCGAGGAUUGCAAUGAAUACCCUCAUGGGCUAUCCGCCUGGCCUCUGACAUGUAACUCUGGUGCCGAAAGCUUGCUUAUGGUAUUAUAGUGUACGGUCAAAAGGUUAGAACGGAUUAAAUU
rnacentral:rRNA from 1 species